AGAGAGAGACAUGCGCGCAUAUCAAUAAGCGGAGGAAAAGAAACUAACAAGGAUUCCCUUAGUAACGGCGAGUGAAGCGGGAAGAGCUCAAAUUUGAAAUCUUCAAGGUUUUACCUUGACGAAUUGUAGUUUAAAGAAGUGUUUUCUGCUGAAGUUUUGGUAAAAGUUCUUUGGAAUAGGACAUCAUAGAGGGUGAGAAUCCCGUAUUUGACCAUUAUUUUCAGCUUUGUGAUACACUUUCAAAGAGUCGGAUUGUUUGGGAAUGCAGUCCAAAGAUGGGUGGUAAAUUUCAUCUAAAGCUAAAUAUUGGCGAGAGGACCGAUAGCGAACAAGUACCGUGAGGGAAAGAUGAAAAGAACUUUGAAAGGAGAGUUAAACAGUACGUGAAAUUGUCAAAAGGGAAGCGUUUGACACCAGUGUUGUUUAGUUGAAAAUCAAUUCAAUAGUUUUUGAUUCUAAGUAGUAUUGACUUCAUCAGCUUGCUGCUUUCUUCUCAGAAAUUAUUGAAUGCACUUUUCAGUUAACAAGUCAACAUCAAUUUCUUUUGUUGUAAAAGGGUAAGAGGAAGGUGGCUUGCGCUUCGGCUCAAGUGUUUAUAGCCUUUUAUCUCUGCAAUCGGAGAGAUUGAGGUCUGCAGCGUAGAUCCUUCGGGGUUAGAUACAUUGGUGCUAAGCUAUAGCCUUGUAUAGACAACUUGUUGACUAUGCUCAGUCAUGUAGCUUACUCGCUGAUGCUAUUUUACCUACGCUUAGGAUGUUGAGUCGUAGAGCACGCAG
rnacentral:rRNA from 1 species